GAUGAACGCUAGCGGCAGGCUUAACACAUGCAAGUCGAGGGGUAUAGGGAGCUUGCUUCCUAGAGACCGGCGCACGGGUGCGUAACGCGUAUGCAAUCUACCUUUUGCAGAGGAUAGCCCAGAGAAAUUUGGAUUAAUACCUCAUAGUAUAGCAGUUUCGCAUGAAACCACUAUUAAAGUCACAACGGCAAAAGAUGAGCAUGCGUCCCAUUAGCUUGUUGGUAAGGUAACGGCUUACCAAGGCAACGAUGGGUAGGGGUCCUGAGAGGGAGAUCCCCCACACUGGUACUGAGACACGGACCAGACUCCUACGGGAGGCAGCAGUGAGGAAUAUUGGACCAAAUGGGCGCAAGCCUGAUCCAGCCA
rnacentral:rRNA from 1 species